GACGAACGCUGGCGGCGUGCCUAAUACAUGCAAGUAGAACGCUGAAGGAGGAGCUUGCUCUUCUGGAUGAGUUGCGAACGGGUGAGUAACGCGUAGGUAACCUGCCUGGUAGCGGGGGAUAACUAUUGGAAACGAUAGCUAAUACCGCAUAAUAGUAGAUGUUGCAUGACAUUUGCUUAAAAGGUGCAAUUGCAUCACUACCAGAUGGACCUGCGUUGUAUUAGCUAGUUGGUGGGGUAACGGCUCACCAAGGCGACGAUACAUAGCCGACCUGAGAGGGUGAUCGGCCACACUGGGACUGAGACACGGCCCAGACUCCUACGGGAGGCAGCAGUAGGGAAUCUUCGGCAAUGGACGGAAGUCUGACCGAGCAACGCCGCGUGAGUGAAGAAGGUUUUCGGAUCGUAAAGCUCUGUUGUAAGAGAAGAACGAGUGUGAGAGUGGAAAGUUCACACUGUGACGGUAUCUUACCAGAAAGGGACGGCUAACUACGUGCCAGCAGCCGCGGUAAUACGUAGGUCCCGAGCGUUGUCCGGAUUUAUUGGGCGUAAAGCGAGCGCAGGCGGUUAGAUAAGUCUGAAGUUAAAGGCUGUGGCUUAACCAUAGUACGCUUUGGAAACUGUUUAACUUGAGUGCAAGAGGGGAGAGUGGAAUUCCAUGUGUAGCGGUGAAAUGCGUAGAUAUAUGGAGGAACACCGGUGGCGAAAGCGGCUCUCUGGCUUGUAACUGACGCUGAGGCUCGAAAGCGUGGGGAGCAAACAGG
rnacentral:rRNA from 2 species